rnacentral:rRNA from 1 species
UACGGAGGGUGCGAGCGUUGUCCGGAAUCAUUGGGCGUAAAGGGCGCGUAGGUGGCUUCUUAAGCGUGCGGUGAAAGCCUGGGGCUCAACCCCGGGUCGGCCGUGCGAACUGGGGGGCUGGAGCACUGUAGAGGCAGGCGGAAUUCCGGGUGUAGCGGUGGAAUGCGUAGAUAUCAGGAGGAACACCAAUUGCGAAGGCAGCUCGCUGGGACGUUACUGACGCUGAGACGCGAAAGCGUGGGGAGCAAACAGG